AGUCUGAUGGAGCAACGCCGCGUGAGUGAAGAAGGGUUUCGGCUCGUAAAGCUCUGUUGGUAGUGAAGAAAGAUAGAGGCAGUAACUGGCCUUUAUUUGACGGUAAUUACUUAGAAAGUCACGGCUAACUACGUGCCAGCAGCCGCGGUAAUACGUAGGUGGCAAGCGUUGUCCGGAUUUAUUGGGCGUAAAGCGAGUGCAGGCGGUUCAAUAAGUCUGAUGUGAAAGCCUUCGGCUCAACCGGAGAAUUGCAUCAGAAACUGUUGAGCUUGAGUGCAGAAGAGGAGAGUGGAACUCCAUGUGUAGCGGUGGAAUGCGUAGAUAUAUGGAAGAACACCAGUGGCGAAGGCGGCUCUCUGGUCUACAACUGACGCUGAGGCUCGAAAGCAUGGGUAGCGAACAGGAUUAGAUACCCUGGUAGUCCAUGCCGUAAACGAUGAGUGCUAAGUGUUGGGAGGUUUCCGCCUCUCAGUGCUGCAGCUAACGCAUUAAGCACUCCGCCUGGGGAGUACGACCGCAAGGUUGAAACUCCAAGGAAUUGACGGGGGCCCGCACAAGCCGUGGAGCAUGUUGUUUAAUUCGAAGCAACGCGAAGAACCUUACCAGGU
rnacentral:rRNA from 1 species